UUUUUGCUUGGACAUUUGUUUCCAGUUUAUGUGGAUACAAGCUCAGGUGCACGCUGGCUGAAUCAUAAGGUCCUCACAUCUCCCUGGAUUCCAGCUCCAUCACAGAGUCUUCCAUUCCCAGCUUGGUGGAAGGCGGAUAUCAGUCUCCUUUCCUUGGACCUCUUCUGGGCCACAACAUGCUCUCACCACCCUUGGAGAGAAGAUGACCCCUCCUGACCCAUGCCCAGGCCAUGCCUGUCUAACCCCCCAUAAAGAGCAGGCAGGACAUCUUAGAAUGGCCCCUCCAGGCUCCUUGUUCACAAAUGAGCCACCUGGGUGUAAAUGUGACCUGUGUUUUCCAGGCAUCCUGAACUGGGGCUAACAGCAGAUCACACAGGGCUCCAAAAGCCAUAUGCAUAUCUGUGUCUGCUGAUCCCUGGGAUUGAGGUAACUCAAUUCCCAUCAAAGUGCCACCCUGUCUGGGAGCUGCCGCUGCCCUGAUUCCUAGAUCUCCACCGUCCUCCUCUCCAGGAAGUUGCCACAGGGCUGGGAAUCCCACUACCCUGUGGAAUCUCUGUUGCCACAGAAAGCUGAGGGGAGAGACUGCACUGAUCUGUCUCCUGCUGUCUAUGGAAAUGGCUGUCUGGUGUCACGCAUCCCGGUGCCCUAGAACUAGCUGGGCCCACUGUGCCCACUGCCCGUCCCCGAGGCACUGAGCCUGGCCAGCAUUGUGGCUGCCUGCUCCUUAAUAAACACUUUUCCAGAAAGCAUGUCUGCCUCUUGAAGUGGGGUCCUGGAGGCUCAGCCGCCAGCCUUUCACAGUAGUCCAGCUCUCCCUGGAUCCUACGUACCUGAUCAAAGCCAAAUAGCUGAGGAAUGUGUUUGACUUUCAAGGUCAAUGCAGAUAUUAAUCAAGACAG
rnacentral:lncRNA from 10 species